rnacentral:rRNA from 1 species
GAUGAACGCUGGCGGCGUGCCUAAUACAUGCAAGUCGAGCGAACAGACGAGAACCUUGCUUCUCUGAUGUUAGCGGCGGACGGGUGAGUAACACGUGGAUAACCUACCUAUAAGACUGGGAUAACUUCGGGAAACCGGAGCUAAUACCGGAUAAUAUUUUGAACCGCAUGGUUCAAAAGUGAAAGACGGUCUUGCUGUCACUUAUAGAUGGAUCCGCGCUGCAUUAGCUAGUUGGUAAGGUAACGGCUUACCAAGGCAACGAUGCAUAGCCGACCUGAGAGGGUGAUCGGCCACACUGGAACUGAGACACGGUCCAGACUCCUACGGGAGGCAGCAGUAGGGAAUCUUCCGCAAUGGGCGAAAGCCUGACGGAGCAACGCCGCGUGAGUGAUGAAGGUCUUCGGAUCGUAAAACUCUGUUAUUAGGGAAGAACAUAUGUGUAAGUAACUGUGCACAUCUUGACGGUACCUAAUCAGAAAGCCACGGCUAACUACGUGCCAGCAGCCGCGGUAAUACGUAGGUGGCAAGCGUUAUCCGGAAUUAUUGGGCGUAAAGCGCGCGUAGGCGGUUUUUUAGUCUGAUGUGAAAGCCCACGGCUCAACCGUGGAGGGUCAUUGGAAACUGGAAAACUUGAGUGCAGAAGAGGAAAGUGGAAUUCCAUGUGUAGCGGUGAAAUGCGCAGAGAUAUGGAGGAACACCAGUGGCGAAGGCGACUUUCUGGUCUGUAACUGACGCUGAUGUGCGAAAGCGUGGGGAUCAAACAGGAUUAGAUACCCUGGUAGUCCACGCCGUAAACGAUGAGUGCUAAGUGUUAGGGGGUUUCCGCCCCUUAGUGCUGCAGCUAACGCAUUAAGCACUCCGCCUGGGGAGUACGACCGCAAGGUUGAAACUCAAAGGAAUUGACGGGGACCCGCACAAGCGGUGGAGCAUGUGGUUUAAUUCGAAGCAACGCGAAGAACCUUACCAAAUCUUGACAUCCUUUGACAACUCUAGAGAUAGAGCCUUCCCCUUCGGGGGACAAAGUGACAGGUGGUGCAUGGUUGUCGUCAGCUCGUGUCGUGAGAUGUUGGGUUAAGUCCCGCAACGAGCGCAACCCUUAAGCUUAGUUGCCAUCAUUAAGUUGGGCACUCUAAGUUGACUGCCGGUGACAAACCGGAGGAAGGUGGGGAUGACGUCAAAUCAUCAUGCCCCUUAUGAUUUGGGCUACGCACGUGCUACAAUGGACAAUACAAAGGGCAGCGAAACCGCGAGGUCAAGCAAAUCCCAUAAAGUUGUUCUCAGUUCGGAUUGUAGUCUGCAACUCGACUACAUGAAGCUGGAAUCGCUAGUAAUCGUAGAUCAGCAUGCUACGGUGAAUACGUUCCCGGGUCU